GCUCAGGACGAACGCUGGCGGCGUGCCUAAUACAUGCAAGUAGAACGCUGAAGAGAGGAGCUUGCUCUUCUUGGAUGAGUUGCGAACGGGUGAGUAACGCGUAGGUAACCUGCCUUGUAGCGGGGGAUAACUAUUGGAAACGAUAGCUAAUACCGCAUAACAAUGGAUGACUCAUGUCAUUUAUUUGAAAGGGGCAAAUGCUCCACUACAAGAUGGACCUGCGUUGUAUUAGCUAGUAGGUGAGGUAACGGCUCACCUAGGCGACGAUACAUAGCCGACCUGAGAGGGUGAUCGGCCACACUGGGACUGAGACACGGCCCAGACUCCUACGGGAGGCAGCAGUAGGGAAUCUUCGGCAAUGGGGGCAACCCUGACCGAGCAACGCCGCGUGAGUGAAGAAGGUUUUCGGAUCGUAAAGCUCUGUUGUAAGUCAAGAACGAGUGUGAGAGUGGAAAGUUCACACUGUGACGGUAGCUUACCAGAAAGGGACGGCUAACUACGUGCCAGCAGCCGCGGUAAUACGUAGGUCCCGAGCGUUGUCCGGAUUUAUUGGGCGUAAAGCGAGCGCAGGCGGUUUGAUAAGUCUGAAGUUAAAGGCUGUGGCUCAACCAUAGUUCGCUUUGGAAACUGUCAAACCUGAGUGCAGAAGGGGAGAGUGGGAUUCCAUGUGUAGCGGUGAAAUGCGUAGAUAUAUGGAGGAACACCGGUGGCGAAAGCGGCUCUCUGGUCUGUAACUGACGCUGAGGCUCGAAAGCGUGGGGAGCGAACAGGAUUAGAUACCCUGGUAGUCCACGCCGUAAACGAUGAGUGCUAGGUGUUGGAUCCUUUCCGGGAUUCAGUGCCGCAGCUAACGCAUUAAGCACUCCGCCUGGGGAGUAC
rnacentral:rRNA from 1 species